GUUCCCACUGCUGUGAGAUUCCAAUGGAGGCAGAGCUGACAGGAGGCGGAGCUGAGGCGGCACAUGGAAGAACUGCACUUCUCUGCACUUCUGUUUAGAGGUGAUUAUGUGACAGGCUUCAGUGAAUAAAAUAGAAAUACAGAAUGUUCUGGAAGACCAAGAAGGUGGAGAAGGAGGAGGCUCAUACAAUCUAAUUUGACAGGAACAGAAACUAGUCUUCAUGACAGCACAUAGUUCUCGAAAAUGAAUAAAGGAAGAGGAAACUACGCCUUCCAGAUAUGCCUGGUACACAGUAGGACUUCAGUUCAUCAUUGUUGAAUGAAUGAAGGGAGUGAAGAAAUACUAAAUGCAGAUGCAGGAAAAUAAACUAUCAUGAGGUUCUUCCCUUGAA